AGGUAAUAAUGAUUUAUUCGUCAAUGAUGAAAUACGAAGAUAUGUGAUGUUAACUGUGGCUCAGAAUUUCUUCGCGUUCAUUUCGACUGGGUGUUUUUCGGCGGCCUCUGAUUAAAACAAAAGAAACAAUGAAACUUGUGCUUGUUUUGUGUGUUCUGAUGUUAUGGACCGUGUCUGCUCAGCCGCCGCCGCCAUUUUUCUAUGAGCCAUUACCACCUAUGUCUUUUAUAGGUGGAGGGCCGGGAUAUAUGGGUAGGUGGAUGGGUACCUGGGGCGGUGCCGGCGCAGGGGAGAGGUAUGCCAAUGGUAUGAGAAACUGAUACUCACUGAAAUAGAUACACCUUUAAUAAAUAAUGAAUGGACAAAGUUGGUGAGAAUUUUGCCAGUGGACGAGCUGAUUCUGUUGUAUUUGUGUCUGUUAGAUGUCUUUCAUGCUUACUGCUGAUCGCUUUUCAAAAUAAAAUAUUCACAUGUGUU